AGAGUUUGAUCCUGGCUCAGAACGAACGCUGGCGGCGCGUUUUAAGCAUGCAAGUCGAACGGUAGGGUAGUGCUUGCACUACCUGAGAGUGGCGAACGGGUGAGUAACGCGUAGAUGAUCUACCUUUUGGUUGGGGAUAGCUCAUGGAAACAUGGGGUAAUACCGAAUAAGAUCCUAUUGCUGUGGCGAUUGGAUGAAAGGGGCUUCGGCCUCGCCGAGAGAUGAGUCUGCGUAUGAUUAGCUAGUUGGUGUGGUAAAAGCGCACCAAGGCGACGAUCAUUAGCCGGCCUGAGAGGGUGACCGGCCACAUUGGGACUGAGACACGGCCCAGACUCCUACGGGAGGCAGCAGCUAAGAAUCUUCCGCAAUGGGCGAAAGCCUGACGGAGCGACGCCGCGUGGGUGAAGAAGGCGGAGACGUUGUAAAGCCCUUUUCUCACAGAAGAAUAAGUUUCAGAGGUAAUGCUGGAGCGAUGACGUUAUGUGAGGAAUAAGCACCGGCCAAUUACGUGCCAGCAGCCGCGGUAACACGUAAGGUGCGAGCGUUGUUCGGAAUUAUUGGGCGUAAAGGGCUCGUAGGCGGCCUACCAAGUCUCACGUGAAAGACCAGGGCUCAACCCUGGGAACGCGAGAGAAACUGGUAAGCUGGAAUCUUGGAGGGGGUACUGGAAUUCCUGGUGUAGGGGUGAAAUCUGUUGAUAUCAGGAAGAACACCGGAGGCGAAGGCGAGUACCUGGCCAAAGAUUGACGCUGAUGAGCGAAAGCGUAGGGAGCGAACAGGAUUAGAUACCCUGGUAGUCUACGCUGUAAACGAUGUGCACUUGGUGUCGGGGUUUCUAAGCCUCGGUGCCGUAGCUAACGCGUUAAGUGCACCGCCUGGGGAGUACGCCGGCAACGGU
rnacentral:rRNA from 1 species